rnacentral:rRNA from 1 species
UACGUAGGGGGCGAGCGUUAUCCGGAUUCACUGGGUGUAAAGGGAGCGUAGACGGCCAUGCAAGCCAGGGGUGAAAGCCCGGGGCCCAACCCCGGGACUGCCCUUGGAACUGCAUGGCUGGAGUGCCGGAGAGGUAAGUGGAAUUCCUGGUGUAGCGGUGAAAUGCGUAGAUAUCAGGAGGAACACCGGCGGCGAAGGCGGCUUACUGGACUGUAACUGACGUUGAGGCUCGAAGGCGUGGGGAGCAAACAGG